rnacentral:rRNA from 1 species
AGGACGAACGCUGGCGGCGUGCUUAACACAUGCAAGUCGAGCGACGCUCCUCCUUCGGGAGGAUGACGGAGCGGCGAACGGGUGAGUAACACGUGGGCAACCUGCCCCUAGCUCUGGGAUAACCCCGGGAAAUCGGGACUAAUACCGGAUAUGAAGUCGGACGGCAUCGUCUGACUUGGAAAGUUUUUCGGCUAGGGAUGGGCCCGCGGCCUAUCAGCUUGUUGGUGGGGUAAUGGCCUACCAAGGCGACGACGGGUAGCCGGCCUGAGAGGGCGACCGGCCACACUGGGACUGAGACACGGCCCAGACUCCUACGGGAGGCAGCAGUGGGGAAUAUUGCACAAUGGGCGAAAGCCUGAUGCAGCGACGCCGCGUGAGGGAUGACUGCCUUCGGGUUGUAAACCUCUUUCAGCAGGGACGAAGCGAAAGUGACGGUACUGCAGAAGAAGCACCGGCCAACUACGUGCCAGCAGCCGCGGUAA